rnacentral:rRNA from 1 species
GGACGAACGCUGGCGGCGUGCCUAACACAUGCAAGUCGAACGGAGAUAUUAGCAAUAGUAUCUUAGUGGCGGACGGGUGAGUAACGCGUGGGCAACCUGCCUUUUACUGGGGGAUAACACAGGGAAACUUGUGCUAAUACCGCAUAAAAAUCAUAGGAGGACAUCCUCGAAUGAUCAAAGGAGCAAUCCGGUGAAAGAUGGGCCCGCGUCCGAUUAGCUAGUUGGCGGUGUAACGGACCACCAAGGCGACGAUCGGUAGCCGAACUGAGAGGUUGAUCGGCCACAUUGGGACUGAGACACGGCCCAGACUCCUACGGGAGGCAGCAGUGGGGAAUAUUGCGCAAUGGGGGGAACCCUGAACCGCAGCAACGCCGCGUGAAGGAUGAAGGUUUUCGGAUCGUAAACUUCUUUGAUGAGGGACGAAGAAAUGACGGUACCUCAAAAACAAGCCACGGCUAACUACGUGCCAGCAGCCGC